rnacentral:rRNA from 1 species
AGCCAUGCCGCGUGCAGGAUGAAGGCCUUCGGGUUGUAAACUGCUUUUGUACGGAACGAAACGGUCUUUUCUAAUACAGAAGGCUAAUGACGGUACCGUAAGAAUAAGCACCGGCUAACUACGUG